rnacentral:rRNA from 2 species
AUACCGGCAGCACGAGUGAUGGCCGAUAUUAUUGGGCCUAAAGCGUCCGUAGCCGGCCGAACAAGUCCGUUGGGAAAUCCACGUGCUCAACGCGUGGGCGUCCAGCGGAAACUGUUCGGCUUGGGGCCGGAAGACCUGAGGGGUACGUCCGGGGUAGGAGUGAAAUCCUGUAAUCCUGGACGGACCACCGGUGGCGAAAGCGCCUCAGGAAGACGGACCCGACGGUGAGGGACGAAAGCUAGGGUCUCGAACCGGAUUAGAUACCCGGGUAGUCCUAGCUGUAAACGAUGCUCGCUAGGUGUGCCACAGGCUACGAGCCUGUGCUGUGCCCUAGGGAAGCCGAGAAGCGAGCCGCCUGGGAAGUACGUCUGCAAGGAUGAA